rnacentral:rRNA from 1 species
AUUGAACGCUGGCGGCAUGCUUUACACAUGCAAGUCGAACGGUAACAGGCCGCAAGGUGCUGACGAGUGGCGAACGGGUGAGUAAUGCAUCGGCACGUGCCCAGUCGUGGGGGAUAACGCAGCGACAGCUGCGCUAAUACCGCAGACGAUCUGUGGAUGAAAGCGGGGGAUCGCAAGACCUCGCGCGGUUGGAGCGGCCGAUAUCUGAUUAGCUAGUUGGUGAGGUAAAGGCUAACCAAGGCGACGAUCUGUAGCUGGUCUGAGAGGACGACCAGCCACACUGGAACUGAGACACGGUCCAGACUCCUACGGGAGGCAGCAGUGGGGAAUUUUGGACAAUGGGCGAAAGCCUAAUCCAGCAAUGCCGCGUGCAGGAUGAAGGCCUUCGGGUUGUAAACUGCUUUUGUACGGAACGAAACGGUGAGCUCUAAUACAGUUUGCUAAUGACGGUACCGUAAGAAUAAGCACCGGCUAACUACGUGCCAGCCGCCGCCGUAAGAC